rnacentral:lncRNA from 1 species
GAAUCCUAGCGGGGAGAUGAGCAGUAUAGAUUUCUAAGGCAGAACUCCCAGAGGAGAACUGCAUUUCUUCAAAGAGAAAGGAGAAAUGUAGUUCAGAAAUGAGGAAAGAGGCAUUUUUUUUUAAUAGGUGACAGAUUUGCCAGAAUGGUAAAAAUAACUGCUAGUUUUACUUAUUGUACAAUCAGCAGGCGCCCACACUGAGACCAGAAGAAGAUAUAAAAAUCCCUUUAUUUCCUAUAGAGCGGCUGAAGAUGGACUAUGGCUAUUGAGAAUACUGAAGCGUUUGAGUAAUAGAAGUAAAUUACAAGGCAGAGCAGACUUCAGAACUGUUUCUGCCCAUGUCUGAAGGAACCCUUAUUACAAAGAUGGUGCUCAGUGAGGGUUAAGAGCUAGAAUUCUGGUGCCAGACUGUCUGGGUGUGAAUCAUAGCUCUCACUCUCACUAGUUGUGGGACUUUGGAGAAAUCACUUAACCAUUCGCUGCCUCAGUUGCCUCAUCUGUCACAUGGGAAUGAUAAUAGUUUCUACCUCAUUGGUUGAUGCCAUGUCUUGGACCACCGGGGUGACCCAGCCUGCAUGACACAGCGCUGGGCAGGGUACCCGCAAGUCACUCAAAUCACCUUGGCCAGCAGUUCACCUUGCAGCCCUCCCCUGGGAAUGGUGUGACCCGGCAGGGAAGAGCUGCAUUAGGCAGCCCCCUCGAGGCCCUUUGGCACAGUCUGCUGGAGAGCUGAGCACUCAGCCAAAGUCUGCAGGAAGCUUCCCUUGAUAAGAAACAGACUCAAAAAGACACUGUAACUUAUCCAAGGCCAUGUGUAUGGCCCGUAAAUGGCACGGCAGGGCUGGCACCCUUGGUCUGAGUUGUGUGUGUCUCGAAUGCCACACUGAACAGAAGGCCAGCUUUCCAGAUCGCCUGUGAUGGAACAGAAGGACUUUCCUCAGCCUGACCUCCAGGCUGACAGAGACCAGAAGCUAAAGCCCAGACAGCAUGGAGAGAGAGGUAAGUGGUCCUUGUCUGAAGUCUUCUCCAUGGCUCCACACCUGAACCUGUUAAAGUGAUUGAGAUUUGUGGGGAGGCUUUUCCUGCACUGAGAGAGAACCUCGGCAUCCACACUGGGUUUGCAUACGCUGCAGGGUUUACCUUCCCAUCACUCAACAAAUAUUUACUGAGCACAUACUAGGAAUCAGAUGCUACUCUGGACAUACAUCAGUGAACAGGUAAAGCCUCAUGUUCCACAGGAAAAAUAGUUGCUGGUUUUUCCAAAUAAUCAUUUUAAGUAUGUUUUCCUAGGAACAAAAGUAAUAUUUGCUUAUUCUAUGAAAUUUGAGAAAUAUACAAAAUUUUUAGAAAAUAGAAAAAAAAAGUCCAGCAGAAAAUGAUCAUCACCAUGCAGUAAUAAUGCGUGAUUACUCGCUUUUGUAUUAUCUUACACACACACACACCCACACACACGUAUAUGUGUGUGUCCAUUAUGUAUUCAAUUUUAUGUCAUUUUUUCCCGUUUCGAGUGCAUUGCAAACUCUUAAUCCCUAUUUGGGCUACUUAUAAUAAAAUACCUGAGCCAGGGUGGCUUAUAAAUAACAGAAAUUUCUUUCUCACAGCUCUGGAAGCUGGGGAAUUCAAGGUCAGUAUACCUGCAGACUGACGGUCUGCUAAGAACACAGUUCCUGAUUCACAGAUGGCAUCUUUUUGUCGUGCCUUCACAUACGGGAAGGUGCAAGGGAGCUCUCUUGGGGCCUCUUUAUAAAGGCACUAAUCCCAUCCAUGAGAGCUCCACCCUCAUGACCUAAUCACCUCCCAAAGACCCUCACCUCCUAAUACCUUCACCUUGGGGGAUUAGGAUUUCAACUUUUGAAUUUUGAAGUGACACAAACCUUCAGACCGUAGCACAAACUUAUUCCCACAUCAUGAAAAUAUGAUACUUAAUGGCUGCAUAUGGUUCCAUCCUGUAGCAAUACCAACUAUUUAACCACGCCGCAACCAUUUCACAUUUCAGUUGAUUCCAGUGUUUCACUGUGAUAAGCAACGCCUUGAAGAACCAUCUUGUACAUGAGUCUUUGGCUUCAUCGCCAAUUAGUUGUUUAGAAUAUAAUCAGAGAAGUGGGAUUACCGGUUCAAAGGGUAUGCAAAUGCUCAUGUUCUUGAUAAAUAUUGCCAGGUUGCUUUCCAGAGUGUUAGCACCAAUUUACAUUUUCACCUGUAUCUUGUGAGAUGCCUUCUCCUGCCAAUAGUCAGUAUUAGAGUGUUUCUAAUCUUUGCCAAUUUGUUACAUUAAAGAAUGGUAUUUCAUUUUAAGACUGGUUCACUUCCUAGGUUGCUCAGUAAUUAUUGGGAUUUGCUUAAACCUGAGUUUUAAUCCCAGGUCUGGCACCUUCUAACAAGAUACGUAACCUCUCUAAGCAUCAAUUUUCUUUCCAUCAAAUGUUGAUAGUUAUUCGGACUUUUUGGGAUACUGUGUGGAUUAAAUGUGUUCAGGUUUAUAACUGUUUUAACGUUCUGUUUAACGUUCUGCCUGUCACAGAACGAAUAAAUGGUAGUUAUUAUCAUGGACAUAACAAUUCAAAAAUUAUCAACACAAGAAUAGUUUCAGCCUUUUUUCUUCCCUCUGUGUUUUCAUGAAGAGUCUCAUUUUGCUCAACUGUAUUUCUUUCCCUUCUCCUCUGAAGGGGGGCUGCCUUUCUUUGGGGCUUUUGUGAAUUAGAAUUAGUAGGAAUGAGAGGGGAAAAAAGCACAAAGAGACACGCUGACCAGGGACAGACCACCCAAUACCCAGUGGCUAACAAUAAUGCACCUGGAUCUGGUAGUGGCUACAAGUAGCCCUGGUGGUGGCUGGGCUCAGCUGGGUGGUUCUGCUUUAGUCUGUGAGCUGACUGGGCUUAGCUCCAGGCUGUGAAGGGGUUCAGGUCUGCCCCACCUGUGCUUGACCUGGGGCCUGUAUGGAAUGAGGAGAAAAUAGCCCAGGGUGUGUUCUCAUGUGAGAUCACCAGAGAAACGAGGUCAUCAUGCCAAAACCCACAGGCAAAUUUAAGGCCUGUGCACCUGUUAUACCUGUUAGUAUCCUACUGGCCAAAGCAAGUCAUGUGGCCCAGGCCAACAUCAGCGGGGCGGGAAGUCUCCUUCCCCACAAUAGGGGGAAGGGAGUGACUGUGUUCUGAACAAAUGAUCAUAACGAGGAGUUCCAGGAAAUUUCAGGAAGAGGGUGCUCGACUGUGUGGUGUAAGGAAACUGGGAGAAAAGAAAAGUGGUCACGAGACAUGUUGGAUAUGGGUGAGAUUUUGCAGAUCAGAAUCCUUUUAAUUUCUCAAAGUCUCUGGUCAGGAACUUGUAAAUUACCUUUUGUCUGUCUGGACUGGGCUUUAUCAAAUGGUACUUGCCCUCGGGACUGAGAGUGUGUGAUGUCUUGCCUGGUGCCACGUAGUGGAAACAAUUACCUUCAGAGCUUUUCCUCUUUGCAUGUCUUAGAACUUUCAAGCAUUUUCUGAUGGUUCUGUUUCUUUUUCUCCCGCUAGUGGAAGAGUAUGGAUAGUGACUCCCUAAUUGUAAUUACCAAGCGAGGCACAACAUCUCCACAGGAUGUGUGUCAGCCGCCCCAUUGCCAUCUCUUUGAGAAAAGAGACAUCAAGUUUGAGAAAACUUGGACUCUCCCUGAGGGCUGAGAAUGAGAGCAACCAACUGGGUCUCAAUCAUGGCUCAGAAGCUCCAAAGUCAAUCACAGAACCUUCCAAUGAAAUCAAAUUGAUAGCGAGCACAGGGCGUGACUCUGGUGAGAUAGAGCCAGAAGAGGUUUCCUGAGAGAACUGUGUCCUGCUAGCCGCCGUCAUUGUCUGUGUAAAAAGCUUCCCCUUGCCUCCCUGGAGACCGUUUACUUGGAACGUGACAGGUUCUCAAUGUCCUGGUCUCUGGGUUUGCUUAGCUCUGCAAAUGGCUGCACAUCACAUGCAUAUCAUUACCCCACAUUCCCAGCAGGAUGAAGGGGCUUGUUAAUAGAUUCGUCCUGAAUUUUAAUUCUCACUUACUCUGACGCUAAGUAGACCACCUAAACAUGGCUGUAUCAGCUCUGCUUCGUUCUCUAAAUGUUAUCUGUCUAUAACUUUACCCAAAACAUUUUUGCUUUGUUUCCAAGAAAGCAAUGUUUCUGACCUCUUUAAAAGAAAAAAUCCACGCCUUGGAGUUCCCAUCGUGGCUCAGUGGUUAACGAAUCUGACUAGGAACCAUGAGGUUGCAGGUUCGAUCCCUGGCCUUGCUCAGUGGGUUAAGGAUUUAGUAUUACCAUGAGCUGUGGUGUAGGUCGAAGAUGCGGCUUGGAUCUGGCAUUGCUGUGGCUGUGGCAUAGGGCAGUGUCUACAGCUCUGAUUAGACCCCUAGCCUGGGAACCUCCACAUGCUGCAGGUAAAAAGACAAAAAAAAAAAAAAAAAAAUCCACACCCAGAAGAAUCAUAAGCAGUGUAAAGAAUUACACUAAAUAAUUGGUCCUCAGCCUUCCUAGAGCAGUGGCUUAGGGCAUCAGUAGUCUCAAUAUCAUUGGGCUUCUGCUGGAAUAAUGAGCAGCAUGUGUACUUUUAAAUGUAUAGUAUAUUUGAGUAUUGGGAGCAGGGAAUUUGUGUAGUUCUGUCUUCUUAAGUCAUUAGAAGACAUUUUAAAGAGUUUUCUUUAAAUCUAUAGCCAGAUUGGCUAUCUCCCUAUUUCCAUAAAAAGAAGGGAGUGUGAAGAUAAAAUCUCUGCUUUCUCCCUCCCCAAAUGGUGGCUUUUUUUUUUUUUUUUUUUUUCCUUUUUGGCUUUUCUGAAGUCCUGUUGAAGGCAGUACUUUCACGAGUUUAAAUGCUCUGACUCAGGAGUUGGAUAAGGCAGGUUUGCAUCCUAGCUCUGUGACCUUUCAUAAGCGACUUGAGCUUUCCUGUGUCUCAGUUUCUUCUUCUGAAAAUGAGGAAGAGACUAGACUCUAACUGUGGAAUGUCAGCUACCUGCCAUUUCGGAAGCUUCCUCACUUGGCCCGCAUAGCAUGUGGGUCAUGGCUAUAGCCGGCAGCCUCCCACACCCUCCGGCCGGGUCCCACCUCCAGCAUCGCCGAGUCCCUCAGCUUUGCUUGUUCAGGGACUUUUCCAAAAUGGAAGACCUGGAAAGCUCAGAGGGUUAACGCUCACCAGUGGAAUGGGAGUCCAUUCUCUGAUCCAGAGGGUGCGGUGUGGUCUUCACGGUCCCAGAGGGCACACACUAGGAUUGAGCCUCAGCUGCUCAUGGCGUUCACCAAAUGCACCACGUACUGACUUCUGUCCCCUGUCCUUCCUCCAUCUACACCCCCUUGCUGCUGCUUCCUGGUGUCCCCUCCCACUAAACUGCCUGGUCUAAGUCCUUAUCGCAAGCUCUACUCAGGGGAAUCUCAACUAGGAAAACUCUCAGUAAAUAUUUGCUCUUAUUAUUUUUAUGCAAAAGCUUUUCCAUUCCUGGGCAGACUAGUUUUGGAACUCAAAUUCAGGAUACACGUUGAAACUUUUUUUUUUUCUCAUUCGAAAUUUUAUUUAAAUCGAAAAAUGUACAAACUGAUCAAUGCCGCCUCAUCCUCCAGUUGCACCUUUAGCAAAUCCUUUGAAAUCAGACUGCUUCCCCAGUAUUGGAACCUGCACUUCUCUUCCUUUCUUGCCGCUUGGGGAGGAGCUGGGCAGCCGGGGUGACGUGGGGUGGGGGGGCGCUCAGGGGACUCAGUGUCUUUGUGCCAACGGUGGGCUGUCUGUAUUGGCAUGUGCUGCCUGGAUCUCAGCCCUGGUGGUCGAGGUUGCCGUCAGGUUCUCCAGACUCUUUCACCCAAGCCCUUUUUGAUCCCCGACACCACCAUUGGCAGGACAACUGAGUGAGAUGAAGAUUCUAGCCAGUGACCAUAGAAUUUUUUUUUUUCUCCUAUCAGGGCAAAGCCAACUGGCCUGCAACAGUAUCGACCUCCACUUUGGCUUCAUUGGCUCAGUGCUGAGGAUUUAAGCCAACUGGCCUACGUGGACAGCUUCUAGCAUUACCACAGCCUGAUCUUUCCCCUUUGGAAAUUUUCAUUGUAAUUAUCCUGGCGUUUCGCCGUGAUCAGCCUCAUGGCUAUGUGGCAGGGAGCUGAACCUUGCGGGUGGGUUGGCGCAGUUCUUCGGAUGGGUUCGUGUGGGCAAAAGUCCUCCUUCUAGUUCUCUUUUAAAUUCAAUCCCUCUCUGGCUUGGCCAUGAGGGCACAGGCAUUGCCAAGGUGAUUUUAUUAUGUGUAUCCUGGAGUAUGUUGCCUUUUGAGUUUGUAGUUCUGUUUCCUGGAAUUAUUGCUUCUGGUAGGAUUAGGGUUGCUUUCUGGCUCUUUGUUGUUGUUUCAGCUGAAAUGUUUUAUUCCUUCACUUUGCCAUUUCAUGAAGUUGAGUGAGGACAGCCAUCAGCUCUGGGAAGGUCAUUUUAGAGGGUGUUCCUGCUCUAAGCUUCUCCUCCUGGCUGCUUGUGGUGAGGUGCGAGACCAGAGGCAAGUUGCAGCUCCGAGGCUCAUUGACUGUGGAAUUGUGGGCUUCUGCCUUGGCUUCUCUGAGUCUCUGUUUCCUCAGCUGCAAGGUGGAAAUAAAGACAGGCCAAAAGAGAGUUGUGUGAAUCAAAGUAGAAAGCCAUCUAAGGUAUUCGUUCUUCUAGUAAAUAUCAAAGGAAGUCUUACCAGAAUGCCCAGCCUUUGGGAGCUGUGGUUUGGUGCGGAAAAUGACACAUGAAUGGGCAGCCAUAGUACAGACUCAUAAAUCCUACAAACAGGAAUAAAUACAUGUGUUACAGGAGCACAUGGGAAUGAGGCUUAACUCAGUCUUGAGGGCUCAUAGAGAGCUUCUUAGAAGAAGCAUAGGAAGAUUAAGUUAUUCAUGGUAAUAUUAGUUAUGAUUAGUUGGGUGCUUACUAUGUGCUGGAUAUUGAUGCUGGGCACUACCUCAGUGAGAUAUCAAUACCUCAAUUAGAUAUCACAAUAGCGCCUAUCUUAUAGGGGUCUUAACUUCCCUUUUAUAGUCAAAGAAACCAGGAGUUCCUGUUGUGGCACAGUGGAAAUGAAUCCCACUAGAAACCAUGAGGUCGUGGGUUCGAUCCCUGGCCUUGCUCAGUGGGUUAAGGAUCUGGUGUUGCUGUGAGCUGUGAUGUAGGUCACAGAUGAGGCUUGGAUCUAGCGUUGCUGUGACUGUGGUGUAGGCCAGCAGCUGUAGCUCCCUUCGACCCCUAGCCUAAGAGCCUCCAUAUGCCGCAGGUGCGGCCCUAAAAGAAAAAGACAAAAAGACAAAAAAAAAAAAAAAAAAAAAAAAG